rnacentral:tRNA from 1 species
GCCUGGGUAGCUUAGUUGGUUAAGUGUCUGACUCUUGAUCUCAGGGUUGUGAGUUCAAGCCCCAUAUUGGGCU